AGCACAAGAACAAGAGAUCUAACAGAAUCCAUAUUGUGUGCCAUCAGUGACAAUACAUCUCAAAUAAAAGAAAGCUAUUCAGCAGGAACAACUAUGAGAGCUGCAACAUCUCUUGAUUAAGCCUGAGGAAGGUAUAAAUAAUGUUGAUGAUGAUGUAGACCAUGAUAACAAAAGUCCAGUAACUGUCACCAGAGGGAAAUAUGCCACUAUAAUUGGGCUGAUGUGCACCCACAGGUAUUGAAAACAAUUACCCCACUGAGCAAAGCACCCACUGCCUAGCAGUCUCCCAUAUCACUUGAGGCCAUAUAUGCAGCUUCUUAAAGAAAGGAGAAAAUGGCCUAACAACAACUUCUGCAUUUCUAUUUUAAAUUAAUGUAAAAGGUAAACAGGACAAACCAUAGCACCUUUAGUGCAAUAGCAUUUUGUCCUACUAUUUUCCUCCUUCUCCAUAACUCAGAAGCCCCCACUGUGCACUUACGACUCACCAAGCAAACCUUGUGCUUUCUGUAAGGUGAAGCACUUAUGUACCAUGGUAUUUUUUAAAUUUUAUAAGGGACUUGAGAUUUUUAAAGCUUUUAUUAGGGUUUUAGAAGAGUAUUCCUUACUAGACUAUACAGGUGUUGUGUUUCACCCAAUUAAAUUUUUCCCAGAAGGCUCAUCAUUUUUAUUGCAUGAAAUUCUACAUUACAUUUAUUUUUUAGAAAGAUGUAUAUGGCACUGUAGGAGAAACAACUAUAUUAUCUCAUUUAAUCCUCAUCUUACCCCACUUUACAAGAGAAAACAUUGGGUAUGGUUUUCAUUGAACAUCAAAAUCUCAUAUCUUGUACAUAUUCUCCCAAACUGUGUUCCCCGUCUUUCUUCUAAUGUAAUGUUAGCUGAGUUUCUCCACCAUUCAAAAGCCUUUUCCUAGAACAUCGUGAUGAGAGAAAUCACAAAGCGGUAGCUCCCAGCCCUGCUAAAAGGAGGAAACGUGCUUGGCAUCCAAAUGGAAACUGGUUUCUAGUACUUAGGUCAAAAGUUCAUGUACACACACACACACACACACACACACACACACAGAGCGUUCUCAAGAGAAGUUCUUAAGGCCAAAAGAAAAAACAGAGAGACUACCAACACAUAGAUCCUAGAGUGAAAAAAUCCAACUGGCAAUCUGAACUAAUGUAGGCAGUUUCCCCAAAGCGACUGAUAACUAUUGAGUUACUUUCCCCAGGGUCAGCUGCAGAGAAGGAAUUAGAAAGACCAAGUUGGGGCCCUUCUCUACUCCUUUUAAAUACCGCGUUUCUGUUGCUUGGAACUUUCAUAUUUCUGCAUCAGACUGUUCUCCUUGCUAUAUUUCACACUCCCUCUGGCUUCACAUCAGAAGAACAAGGUCAGUAUUUGUUUGUAAUGGAAUAGGGGUGUGAUGGUGAAUAAUACAGAUGUAUAUUUUACUUGGAACAAAUGCAGUUCACCUUUCUUCUCUGAGUAAACUGAGAUCUUGAGAGAGGCUGCACUGCAUAAGCCUUCAAAAGGAGGCCCUCCUUGGGUAUUCCAAACAUUUUAUCAAGCCACAAGAUCCUCUUGUUUCAAGCAAGAAGCACCCUGUUUCUAAAGACCUCCACGAAGUCCUACAAAAAGUGUUAAAACACCAGCUCUCCUGCCAGUGGUCUGCUGGGAUUGUUGAAUUUGCGUCGGCCCCACCUCCAUUAAUCAAUCCCACUCCAGCUCCUCA
rnacentral:lncRNA from 1 species